rnacentral:rRNA from 1 species
GACGAACGCUGGCGGCGUGCCUAAUACAUGCAAGUCGAGCGGACCGAAGGGAGCUUGCUCCUUUAGGUUAGCGGCGGACGGGUGAGUAACACGUGGGCAACCUGCCCUGCAGACUGGGAUAACUUCGGGAAACCGGAGCUAAUACCGGAUAACACCGAAACCGCAUGGUUUUCGGUUGAAAGGCGGCAUUAGCUGUCACUGCAGGAUGGGCCCGCGGCGCAUUAGCUAGUUGGUGAGGUAACGGCUCACCAAGGCGACGAUGCGUAGCCGACCUGAGAGGGUGACCGGCCACACUGGGACUGAGACACGGCCCAG